AAUAAAUCUUAAAAAAAAAAGAAGAAAAGAAGGAAGGGAACAUAAAGAGGUAGGGGGAGAGAGGCUGCCUCCCUUGCAUGGAGGUUUCGGUCUGGGCACCAGGGUUUAAGAAAGGCAUUAGUAAAGCAGAUUUCAUCUGUUGAAGCUCAGCGGUAUGUAUCCACGCCAUCAUUUGGAAGACGGUCUAGAUGACAUACACUCGGGCUUCCAUCUCUUCUGUUAGGUAAGGCUGUCUCCAUGGGUCACAGUCUUGUUGCCAGGCAACUUCUUCCUUCAGAGUGAGAACUCUCCCAAGAGGACCCUCCAUCCGUAUGCAAACAAGCUGCUGGCAGCUGCUGCCACCAAUUCCACAGACAUGCCCAGGCACGACUGAAUCUCUCCUAGCUAAGCUGAAGGUCCCCAUUACCGUAAUUGAAAGGAGCAAAUGUUAUUCUUUCUAUUUUUCCUUUAGUGAGCUUUUUCCUUUGAUGAUAUAUUAGGUGUACAAUGAAAGAACAAUAUUAUACUACCAUAAUCCAUCUUCAUUAAGAAAACCAUCCAUCUUAUGCUUCUAUAAAUAUAUUCUUUUGCCAUUCAUCUUGAGUAAGAGGAGUACAGAGAAGAAUCUUGAACAAAUUAAGCUGUUUUGUUCUGUGGAGCCUUAUAAUUGUCCCUGUCGACAGUUGAACCUACAGCAGUAGCUCUAAGCAAUAUUUAUUAAGGACUGUCUAAGUUCCAGGCACUGUGCUAAGCAUUAAGGCUAAAGGAGAAUCCAGCAUAAUCCCCAACGUCUCACAACCAGCUGGAAGUCAGCUGCAAACCUAAGCAUAAUAUAAUGUGGUAUGUGCUGCAGUAGAUAAGUUGACCCAAUCUUUAGAGUUGCCCUGAUUUAUACAGAAAAUAUAUCAAGCUGCCCUCUGAUCUUCAACUUUGAAAUCUAAGAUUUUCAUUCACGGUGGUCAGGCUUAUCUGAUUAUCUGUAGCAGUGGCUAUAUGUUGAUAGCCACACAAGUUACUUUCUCCUACUUUGGAAUAAAAUUUCCUAUUUGUCAAAAUAUGCGUCAAUACCUGGGUGACCAGAACUGUCCAGCAGUACUUACUCUGCAAACCACAGUGCUCCAGAGGUAAAACAGCCACACCUGAGGCAUCCACACACAUUGGCAAGCUAGCAAGUCCAGUCCUCCCUGACAAGCAAGGUUUGCCACUUCCUGUGAAGGCUGACUUGAGAUUAAAACUCAAUUUCCUGGAAGACUGAUGGGGCACAUCUCAACACGGUUCCUCAGAUGUUAAGUGACAAAUGAUCUGUAGCAUUUCCAGCAAUUUCAGGCAUGAGAGACACAGUAAAGGAGCGUGAAUUUUCGGAGUGCCAAGGGGUAACUCCUGCUGUGGAAGGUGGCCCAGGUGCAGAAAGGCAACAUCUCAGACAUCCUCAAAGAGCUGACCCGGUGCCGGGCCCAGGUCCAGCACAGCAGAGAGCCAUGGUGGGAUGCUACCAAUAAAAAGGUGAGCCUCAGUGGAGAUUGGAAUCUUUCUGGGAAGCCUACUGUGUAAGGAAGAACCAUUCAGUGUUGGAAGGAGCCUGGUUACAGGGAAUCGGAGAGCCUGUAACAAGUGGUUCUCGCACAGUGUUUUCUCUGUCUGUCUUCAUGGCGGAGAAAGCCAGGGAUCCAAGGGGAAGGAGCUCUGCUGUCUUAUUAGCUGCACAAGUAUGUGCCAAGGAGGAAUCCCCUUCCUCUAAAGAAGAAGGGAAGUUUGCAUGAAGCUUAGCUGCACGAAAUCGGAAGGGUUCCAGAUAACUCUCCUUGCAUGAAGCCGUCAGACCCCAGAAAAGCUGUCUAAAGAUCUCACUUCAAGAGCAGGGCUCAAGUGUUUCAUGGGUCUUGGAGGAUGGAAAUCUCUGUGGCUGAUGGAAUGGAACCAGUACUACAAGGAAAUUCAGCACCCUUGGAAUCUACAAUUAUGCAGCCAAGAGUUUCCUCGCGGGCGUACAUGCAAAGAUCAGCUACAUUGCCUAGCUCAUCAAAACUUUUGGGAUUUCCAAUCUCAUUAUGAUUUUAAAUAAAAGCAAGUGAGCCAAGACAAAAGGGCCAAAGGUCCUGGAAACCUCUCAGUUUAUAAGGACCAAGGCUCAGGGAUUUGGAAGGGAAAGAAGUAUUACUUAAAUACUAUACCUUCCUAAAGGCCAAGGGG